CCCUAGCCCAGAUAGUAAUGGAAAUCCCACGCUUUUGGGCGUGGAUUGCAAUGGAUAGCUGGAAAUAGC
rnacentral:sRNA from 10 species